rnacentral:rRNA from 1 species
UUUGCCUCACCACCUUGCACAUUCCCAGUUUCAUCUGAUGUGGGGAACUAAGCAGGUUCAGGCCUGGUUUGUACCUGAGCGGGAGACCAUCUGGGGAAUACCAGAUAUCUCCGAAC